UGAUAAACUGGAGGAAGGUGGGGAUGACGUCAAGUCAUCAUGGCCCUUACGACCAGGGCUACACACGUGCUACAAUGGCGCAUACAAAGAGAAGCGACCUCGCGAGAGCAAGCGGACCUCAUAAAGUGCGUCGUAGUCCGGAUUGGAGUCUGCAACUCGACUCCAUGAAGUCGGAAUCGCUAGUAAUCGUGGAUCAGAAUGCCACGGUGAAUACGUUCCCGGGCCUUGUACACACCGCCCGUCACACCAUGGGAGUGGGUUGCAAAAGAAGUAGGUAGCUUAACCUUCGGGAGGGCGCUUACCACUUUGUGAUUCAUGACUGGGGUGAAGUCGUAACAAGGUAACCGUAGGGGAACCUGCGGUUGGAUCAC
rnacentral:rRNA from 1 species